rnacentral:rRNA from 1 species
UAUUCACAUAAGUAGUCAAACGUCCUAUAGAGUUAAAGAAAAGUCGAUAGACUUUUUGAAUCUUUUUGGAGUGAACAUGCUCGCAUGAGUAGCCAAAGUAUAAAAAGAAAAACUUUUAACUUUGUGGUAAACAACUAGAAUUGGGUUAGAGCUCUUGUUCUUUCGGACAGGACUUUACCUAGUCCUAUACCAAUUGUUUAAAAUGUUUAAAAACUUUUAAUACGACCGAAUACCCAAGGUUAUCUGCGAAACAACGGCGCAGAGUGACACGGUCUCUAAGAUAAGUUUAUAGCUUAUUGAAGGGUA